rnacentral:rRNA from 1 species
AUUGAACGCUGGCGGCAGGCCUAACACAUGCAAGUCGAACGAGUGGCGGACGGGUGAGUAAUGUCUGGGAAACUGCCUGCUGGCGGGGGAUAACCACUGGAAACGGUAGCUAAUACCGCAUACCAUCAGAUGUGCCCAUAUGGGAUUAGCUAGUUGGUGGGGGAACGGCUCACCAAGGCGACGAUCCCUAGCUGGUCUGAGAGGAUGACCAGCCACACUGGAACUGAGACACGGUCCAGACUCCUACGGGAGGCAGCAGGGGGGAAUAUUGCACAAGGGGCGCAAGCCUGAUGCAGCCAUGCCGCGUGGAUGAAGAAGGCCUUAGGGUUUUAAAGUACUUUCAGCGGGGAGGCGUUACCCGCAGAAGAAGCACCGGCUAACUCCGUGCCAGCAGCCGCGGUAAUUC